CAACGUGGGUAACCUGCCCAAGAGACUGGGAUAACACCUGGAAACAGAUGCUAAUACCGGAUAACAACACUAGACGCAUGCCUAGAGUUUAAAAGAUGGUUCUGCUAUCACUCUUGGAUGGACCUGCGGUGCAUUAGCUAGUUGGUAAGGUAACGGCUUACCAAGGCAAUGAUGCAUAGCCGAGUUGAGAGACUGAUCGGCCACAUUGGGACUGAGACACGGCCCAAACUCCUACGGGAGGCAGCAG
rnacentral:rRNA from 1 species